CGCGUUAUCUUCCCCAUUUUGAUUUUUGACGCGUAGCUGAGGAUGAACGCAGCAUUCAACCGCGUCUAUAAAUAGAGUCUUGGUCCCGCCCUCUCUCUUUCGAAUCUCAACUCAGGGUUUCAAUUUUGGGGCUUCUGACGAUCUAGGGCUUGCGAAGGUUUCUGAUGAUCUAGGGUUUGUGCUGGAGGAAACAGGGUUUCUCUUUUACUUCUGAUCAACAUCAUGAACGGCGGCGGCGAGUUUCCUUUUAAACUGCGUCAUCUUCAACAAAACCCUAGAAAGAUGGAAACUUGGCGCCUUCAAGUCUAUGUUUCGAAAUUUAUUUUGAUUUUCAGAGGUGAGCUUUGACGAGUAGAAUGAUGUCCUUACAAAGUAUCACUAUCGAGUGCAAUUAUGCACAGGAUCAAUGUUGCAUUCAAAGAAGAAGAAGAAGAAGAAGAAGAAAAUAUCAUUCACUUUUGAGGACUGAUUUGAGAAGUAGAAAGGAAUCCUUGCGAAGUUUCAUUAUCGAGUGCAAUUACAGCUCAAUUUCACAGUCAAAAUAGAAAGAAGCUGUGAUUAUUCAAAGAAGAAUUCUCCUUCAUCCUUCGAUGAGAGAUUUUUAUGAUUCGAAAGAUAUCCUUGCAAAAGUAUCAAUGAUCGAGUGCCUGUGGAGCUGGAUGCAUUUGUUAUUUCAGGUGUAGCAAAAAUGUGCAGCAUGUGGAAUUUAUUGGAAUGAAGCAAAGUGAAAGAGUUGAGCACAAUUCAGUAUCUCUGAGUGGAGUUUGCAUCUCAGAAAAAGUUGAAUCAGGGAUAUCAUGCAGUAGGGUGGUACAAGUUUCUGGUGGAGGAUGGUGGCAUCCAAACUCUUAUUAUCUUGGAAAUGGUCCUGAAAAUCAGAAAUGUUUUGCGUAUCUAAAGUCAGUGGCUAUCAGUGAAGGAGAGCAAGCGAAGGGUUUACACAUACAACAACAUGGAGGAAGCACAUUUUGUAUACUCCAUUACAUUUUUGGAAUGCAAUCCAUUCCUAUGAAAGAUUGUUACAUAUGGCUGGCAACAGGGUGUGAUGAUGGAACUGUGCGAUUACAAGAUACUGUUAGAUCAGGAAAUUCAUAUAUCAUCAUUCGUGGUUCUAGCGAUGGAAGUAUUACUUUGGAUAGUACCACAGCCAUUGAUGGUUUUAUGCAAAGAACUCUGGAAUUCAGACAAGAAAUGCUUAUGUACUGUCAAAGACGUCCACAAACAGGUAGAAUAAGCCAGGGAGAUGGAUGGUGGAAAUCCUUGAAAAAUCAAUCCUCCCAGGAGACUAUCAGAGUUUCCUUAACCAUGCAGAAGCUGGCAAUAGUAGUAAUGGCCAAAGUGCCGAACAAAUUUCAGUUGACCCCUCAUCUUGACGCAAAUACCCUAACGAGUGCUCAGAAGAGUACCAAUAUACCAUCAUCUGAGAUAUGUCAGAUUUUGCGGUUGCAUAUUUUUCAGUUCAAUUCAUCAGUCUGGCGUUCACUGCCUCCAUGUUUCAGAAAGAAAAGAUUUUCUGCAGUCAAAACCUGAAAUUUCUUACCAUGUUGUAGUUGUGGAGAUGAUCAGACAGUGAACUAUAUUUUCUUUGAUUUAACAAGAAAAACAAUGAAUGGGAUUCCUUAAGUGUUCAGCCAACUGAUAAAUCAAACCACAUGCAGGAUUGUGCACUAGAAUUAAUCAUCACUGAGAAGUAUUCUAGUCAUGGCAUGCGUAACCAAUAUCAGCUUAGGAUACAUUAUCAAGACAGUUGAGUCAGAUCACACUUCAGCAGUUAAAGAUUUAGAGGACGGACAGGUCCAGUAUGAUGAUGCAUUAGAGCAGGAGUAUGCCCAGCCGGAGUGUCUUCCAGGUGGAACAGAAGAACAAACAGAAGCUUAGCAUUUUCUUUUACGUAAUCACUGAUGAACACUAGAUUACUUAUGUAGUACCUUACCCUUUAGUCUUUCGAUGGACUUAGUCAUUUUGCAGUACUUCCUUCUUAAUUUGUCGGACUAUGUAUUUUCCUAUUUUAGUUGGACUGUUUUGUAAUAAGGGCAUGUUUGACCCAAACUUUGUGUCUCGGAUGAUAUUUCAGUUGUGAUAUGUAUAUUUUCUAUCUGUGUUGUUUAUUAUAUUCUCGCUACUGUGA